ensembl:misc_RNA Metazoa_SRP Metazoan signal recognition particle RNA
GCCAGGUGUGGUGGCACGUGCCUGUAGUCCCAGCUACUUGGAAGUCUGAGGUGGGAGGAUUGCUUGAGCCCAGGAAUUUGAGGUGGCAGUGAGCUGAUUAUACCACUGCACUCCAGCCUGGGCGACAAAGCAAGACCCUGUCUCUU